CUCUCAAGGGAACCAAGCAUUUCCAAGUUAAAGGGAAACACGCUCCAAGGUUCAUUCACUACAAGAAAUAAGCUCGUUUAUGACUAAAAAUAAUGACAACGGUUUUAUUGGUCAUAGAUCUAUGACUAAUAUCUACAAAAAGGUCAUGAGGUGUCUAAGAGGAUCCAAACCGUAGAAAUUUUUGACCAUCUCUAUCAAGAAGGUCAUAAUCCCAUUGCCCAAAAUGGUCACUGGCAUGUGUAGCUCUAUUAAUGCCCGCAUUUCGUCUCAACCUUGUGUUCCUCGAAAUUGAACACUUCGGCAAAAUCAGGAUGGAGAAAAGAACAAUAUCUAUAACCACACAUGCACGCCUUAAAAAAGACCUCACCUAAAAAAUAGAUUUAUCAUCCCAUGCCCAGUGGGAGACGUCUUAAAAUUGACAAUGUGUUGUGAUCGUGCGGACACUGAGGC
rnacentral:lncRNA from 1 species